rnacentral:rRNA from 1 species
UACGUAGGGGGCGAGCGUUGUCCGGAAUCAUUGGGCGUAAAGCGCGUGUAGGCGGCUCGGAAAGUCUGGUGUGAAAUCUUGAGGCUCAACCUCAAGCUGUCACUGGAUACUGUCGAGCUUGAGUCCGGAAGAGGAGAGUGGAAUUCCUGGUGUAGCGGUGGAAUGCGCAGAUAUCAGGAAGAACACCCGUGGCGAAGGCGGCUCUCUGGGACGGUACUGACGCUGAGACGCGAAAGCGUGGGGAGCGAACAGG